CUUACAGAAAGCUUACCAUGGGCCUUCCUCCAAGGAGUUAUGUCUCAGUGUACCUGAGAGCCAUGAGGUUCAUAAUGUAAAUAUAUCAAAGAUUUGAAGGGUUGUCCUGUACCUUCAGUGUUCAGAUUUGUGAGUCUGAAUAAAAAGCCUGCACCCCUGGUCUCCAACCAUGUACGGGUGAGAAGUCUUAGACAACAAGUCUGUGUCUGUGAGGCGUCAGGUAUCUGUGAAGGGGUGUGUACUGCAGUGAAAGUUGCUUUAAUCAUCCAGCACCAGAGGUUCCUUGUGUUUGGCUCACAUACAGUACGUCCAAGGAAUGGAGACAGACUGAGGAAAUCUCCAGACCAAGAUAUUUGAAGUCAAAGCUGUAACUCUCCUACACCCCAGCCAUUUCAAUUCCAUUUCAUCAACAUCAGGUUCAGCUCAUCACAAGUCCUCUGCUCAUCUCAUCCUGUAUCCCUCACCACCACCACCUAUGUCCAGACUCCAUAAGGGGGGUGCCCUGCCCUGCUGUUGACUUCACUAUCCCUUUGAUUCCAUGAAGACAUCACAAUUGAGUUUUAUCUCUACAGACAUUGCACAUUUGUCUACCAUCUUUUUUUUUGUACAUAAACGAUUGUUCGAUCAGUCUCGUCAGUCAUGAAAAGUGUGAUGGACCACUUCCCUUCGUAGCAAGCACUCUACUGCUGAUGGCACAAGACAGCUGGAUAGAAUAGCUGCUCUCAUCCAGCUCCUCGAACAGGUGGAAAAAGGGCUAGAUACUGCUACAUAAAUGUUUACCACCCACCAGAGGUUGAUCCCCUUCAAAGUGACAUCACCUUGGACAGUCCCUGCCUGUCUCAGCCCCUAGGACUCACACUUAUAUGAUGAUGAUGAUGAUGAUCAUCAUCAUCUGACUGACUGAACUUAACCAUUUAUUGGGUCAGAUUUGCAAUUUUGCUGUUAGAGUGAUGGUAGUGUAUUUUUUUACAAACUGUGCCUGGGACCCUUUAUAAAAAGCUAAAACCUACAACAGUGACAAAAUUAUAAGAUGACAUACUAAGAGAUAUGAAAAAUAACAAGGAUGAAAGUCUAUUUGUUCCCUGUUUUAUAAAUUUACAAUACACCAUUUCUGUACCUUAGUUCUUCUAUAAAUCAUGCCUCUAUGUCAAACUGAUCCUUUAUUCCAAGUUACAGGACCCAUAGCUGUGAGACUUGUGUUGUGAAAUAUUAAAAUGCAUAAUGCUCUUUAUUUUUUGUCCUGCAGGACAUAUUCAGUCUGCCAGUAACAUCUCAGGAUUACUCCUUUUUUCUAAUUUAAAUGGUGUUGCUGAUAGUUUCAUUUACA